rnacentral:lncRNA from 1 species
UGGUAGUCUUUAACUGAAGGGCACUGACUGGGUCACUGGUGAAGUUCCCCGCAGGAACUGAGUCAGACCCCAUCUCAGGGCCCUGCACAAGAUAGGUGCCUGCUCUAAGGCGUGGACCCUCGCCACAGCCCUGGCCCGUCUUGACGGGCGAGGGUUACUGUACUUGUCCCAACCGUACAGAUGAGAAAGCUGAGACUCAGGGCCAGCAACCCGGGUCCCAGCGGAGCGCCCGGCACACGCCGACACUUCAGCACCAGUGGCGGUGGCCACCACUGUGGGCGGAGAUGGCUGCGACGCGUGCGCAGAUCUCGAUCCCAAACUCCCUCCUGCCAGAAUCUGGACCCGAAUCCACCCAUUGCCCGUUUUCCGCUGCCGCUGGAGAGAAUCUCUGAGGUCCCCAGGAGAGCCUGCCUGCACGGAAGAGACGCCUCCUCGGUAUGGCCGCCCCCGG